UACGUAGGGUGCGAGCGUUAAUCGGGAAUUACUGGGCGUAAAGCGUGCGCAGGCGGUUCGUUAAGUCAGAAUGUGGAAAGCCCCGGGCCUCAACCUGGGAACUGCAUUUGAAACUGGCGGGCUUGAGUGUGGCAGAGGGGGGGGUGAAGUUCCGCGUGGUAGCAGUGAAAUGCGUAGAGAUGCGGAGGAACACCGAUGGCGAAGGCAGCCCCCCUGGGCCAACACUGACGCUCAGGCACGAAAGCGUGGGGGAGCAAACAGG
rnacentral:rRNA from 1 species